rnacentral:rRNA from 1 species
GUGGGGAAUAUUGGACAAUGGGGGGAACCCUGAUCCAGCCAUGCCGCGUGUGUGAAGAAGGCCUUUUGGUUGUAAAGCACUUUAAGCGAGGAGGAGGCUACCGAGAUUAAUACUCUUGGAUAGUGGACGUUACUCGCAGAAUAAGCACCGGCUAACUCUGUGCCAGCAGCCGCGGUAUUACAGAGGGUGCAAGCGUUAAUCGGAUUUACUGGGCGUAAAGCGCGCGUAGGUGGCCACUUAAGUCAAAUGUGAAAUCCCCGAGCUUAACUUGGGAAUUGCAUUCGAUACUGGUUGGCUGGAGUAUGGGAGAGGAUGGUAGAAUACCAGGUGGAGCGGUGAAAUGCGUAGAGAGCUGGAGGAAUACCGAUGGCGAAGGCAGCCAUCUGGCCUAAUACUGACACUGAGGUGCGAAAGCAUGGGGAGCAAACAGGAUUAGAUACCCUGGUAGUCC